rnacentral:rRNA from 1 species
UGGGGAAUUUUGGACAAUGGGGGCAACCCUGAUCCAGCCAUGCCGCGUGCGGGAAGAAGGCCUUCGGGUUGUAAACCGCUUUUAGCCGGGAAGAAAAGGCGCGGGCGAAUACUCCGCGUUCUUGACGGUACCGGCGGAAUAAGCACCGGCUAACUACGUGCCAGCAGCCGCGGUAAUACGUAGGGUGCGAGCGUUAAUCGGAAUUACUGGGCGUAAAGCGUGCGCAGGCGGUUCGUUAAGUCUGAUGUGAAAGCCCCGGGCUCAACCUGGGAAUGGCAUUGGAUACUGGCGGGCUGGAGUGUGGCAGAGGGGGGUUGGAAUUCCGCGUGUAGCAGUGAAAUGCGUAGAGAUGCGGAGGAACACCGAUGGCGAAGGCAGCCCCCUGGGCUGACACUGACGCUCAGGCACGAAAGCGUGGGGAGCAAACAGGAUUAGAUACCCCGGUAG